UACGGGGGGGGCAAGCGUUGUUCGGAAUUACUGGGCGUAAAGGGCUCGUAGGUGGCCAACUAAGUCAGACGUGAAAUCCCUCGGCUUAACCGGGGAACUGCAUCUGAUACUGGAUGGCUUGAGUUUGGGAGAGGGAUGCGGAAUUCCAGGUGUAGCGGUGAAAUGCGUAGAUAUCUGGAGGAACACCGGUGGCGAAGGCGGCAUCCUGGACCGGCAUUGACGCUGAGGCGCGAAAGCUAGGGGAGCAAACGGG
rnacentral:rRNA from 1 species